UACAGAGGGUGCAAGCGUUGUUCGGAAUUAUUGGGCGUAAAGCGCUGGUAGGUGGCUUGUUAAGUCGCGUGUGAAAGCUCCAGGCUCAACCUGGAAAGUGCGCGCGAAACUGGCGAGCUUGAGUGCCGGAGAGGGUCGCGGAAUUCCCAGUGUAGAGGUGAAAUUCGUAGAUAUUGGGAGGAACACCAGAGGCGAAGGCGGCGGCCUGGAAGGUAACUGACACUGAGCAGCGAAAGCGUGGGGAGCAAACAGG
rnacentral:rRNA from 1 species